rnacentral:misc_RNA from 1 species
UUUAUUGAAGAUCCUGAUGGUUACAAGUUUGAACUUUUGGAGAGGGGUCCAACACCCGAACCCCUAUGCCAAGUAAUGCUUCGAGUCGGAGAUCUAGAACGUGCCAUAAGUUUUUAUGAGAACGCUUAUGGAAUGAAGCUUCUUCGCACACGUGACAACCCGGAGUACAAGUAUACAAUAGCAAUGCUAGGAUAUGGUCCUGAAGACACGAGCGCUGUGAUGGAGUUAACAUAUAAUUAUGGUGUCACUGAAUAUGACAAGGGAAACGCAUACGCACAGAUAGCUAUAGGCACCGAUGACGUGUACAAGACAGCAGAAGCAAUAAGACUUUGUGGUGGAAAAAUUACCAGGGAACCAGGACCUCUACCCGGUAUCAGCACCAAGAUUACUGCGUGCCUCGACCCUGAUGGUUGGAAGACGGUUUUCGUUGACAAUAUAGAUUUUCUCAAGGAAUUGGAGUAAACUAUCACUCAAAAUACUAGGCAUACUCAGAACAUCUCAAGGACAUUGAUGCUUCAACAAAUUACAUCCUCGCCAAAACGAUACAAGGAGACUACCACGGGAGAUAGCGUUACAUUGUGCAUUUGUGGAUUGUAUUACAGAAAUCGUCGCUUCACCAGAGCAUUAGAAGAAUAGAAGCACGAAAAUCGUACAUCUUCGUGCUUUUUGUAAUAAGUUUGUUGAUCUUAUUUAUGCUGCCCUUUCUUACAGGGAAAACUCAGCAAAGUAAAGAAGCAAAUAAACCAGUAGUUCAGAAAAAAUUAGAAUAGUUGGGACUGAGUUCUGUGUUUCCAUUAUAUCUAAUUUGAUUUUGUUCAUUAGAACUCUUUUCUGAGGAUCAGUCAGUUGACAAUUGCAUAUUCCAUUGUUGUAAACAUUG